rnacentral:tRNA from 1 species
GGUCCAGCUCAGUGGUAGAGCAUUUGCCCUACAGGCAUGAGGCCCUGAGUUCAAUCCCCAGCACCA